rnacentral:lncRNA from 1 species
GCCUGAAGUCCCACCUGUUAAAGUACCAGAGCCUCCCAAAGAAGUAGUUCCUGAAAAGAAAGCGCCAGUGGCUCCUCCUAAAGAGCCUGAAGUCCCACCUGUUAAAGUGCCUGAGGCUCCCAAAGAAGUUGUUCCUGAAAAGAAAGUGCCAGUGCCUCCUCCUAAAAAGCCUGAAGUGCCACCCACAAAAGUCCCAGAGGUGCCAAAGGCAGCUGUCCCAGAAAAGAAGUUGCCUGAAGCUAUUCCUCCCAAACCGGAAAGUCCUCCCCCUGAAGUGCCUGAAGUGCUGCCACCGAAGGAAGUGGUCCCAGAAAAGAAAGUACCGGUGCCUCCUGCCAAAAAGCCAGAAGCUCCACCUCCUAAAGUGCCUGAGGCUCCCAAAGAAGUUGUUCCUGAAAAGAAAGUGCCAGUGCCUCCUCCUAAAAAGCCUGAAGUGCCACCCACAAAAGUCCCAGAGGUGCCAAAGGCAGCUGUCCCAGAAAAGAAGGUGCCUGAAGCUAUUCCUCCCAAACCGGAAAGUCCUCCCCCUGAAGUGCCUGAAGUGCUGCCACCGAAGGAAGUGGUCCCAGAAAAGAAAGUACCGGUGCCUCCUGCCAAAAAGCCAGAAGCUCCACCUCCUAAAGUGCCUGAGGCUCCCAAAGAAGUUGUUCCUGAAAAGAAAGUGCCAGUGCCUCCUCCUAAAAAGCCUGAAGUGCCACCCACAAAAGUCCCAGAGGUGCCAAAGGCAGCUGUCCCAGAAAAGAAGGUGCCUGAAGCUAUUCCUCCCAAACCGGAAAGUCCUCCCCCUGAAGUGCCUGAAGUGCUGCCACCGAAGGAAGUGGUCCCAGAAAAGAAAGUACCGGUGCCUCCUGCCAAAAAGCCAGAAGCUCCACCUCCUAAAGUACCAGAGGCUCCCAAAGAGGUUGUUCCUGAAAAGAAAGUGCCCUCGGCUCCUCCUAAAAAGCCUGAAGUCCCACCUGUUAAAGUGCCAGAGGCUCCGAAAGAAGUUGUUCCUGAAAAGAAAGUGCCAGCGGCUCCUCCUAAAAAGCCUGAAGUCACACCUGUUAAAGUGCCUGAGGCUCCCAAAGAAGUUGUUCCUGAAAAGAAAGUGCCAGUGCCUCCUCCUAAAAAGCCUGAAGUGCCACCCACAAAAGUCCCAGAGGUGCCAAAGGUAGCUGUCCCAGAAAAGAAGGUGCCUGAAGCUAUUCCUCCCAAACCGGAAAGUCCUCCCCCUGAAGUGUUCGAGGAGCCUGAGGAAGUUGCCCUAGAAGAGCCUCCUGCUGAAGUUGUGGAAGAGCCAGAGCCAGCGGCGCCUCCACAAGUGACCGUACCACCUAAGAAACCUGUCCC